UGGACAGGAAUAAGGCCUGGGAGCUACAAGCAGCCGGCUCAGGCCAGCUGGCAGCCAACAAGUCCCUUUCCUUCUCCCUUCCUCUGAUAGGUUAGCCCUGCUCGUGAGAAAUGGGACCUCUGCUGUGCACACAAGUGUCCAGGAGGCACACUCUCGCUGAAGAACAUCCUCUCCGCCCCAGCUGCUUCUUCAUACCCUUCUCUUUCCAACAGGUAUCUCAGCCUGGGCCAUCUUUUCAAUGCCUAUCUGCCACUGGGCGAGGAGGAGACCCUGAGCCUACCUGUGGUUGAAGGCACCCACCUAAAAGAGCAACAGCGAGCAGAAGUCGGGACAAGAUAGAGAGGCAGACCAAAGGCAGGAAUGAGAAGAUGAUAAGAGCAGUGUGGAAGCAAGCCCGGCAGGUUUCCUGGAGGAGGUUCUUGGUGACCUCACCUUUGACCAACAAUUUCCUGGCACUGGCUCAGGCUGCCAAGCGGGGUAGAGGGGGAGGAAGAGGAGUAUAAACAGCAGGUAAGGCCAAAGGUGGUUCUGGAAGGCAAGGGGCACAUUCCGAAAAGUCUCCCCAGCCUGAGGCCUGUGGCAGAGCCCAAAGUCCGAUAGCGAACCCACACCUGCAUUCCAGCCAUCCAAAGGGACCAUGAGUACCUGAGAACCCACCAGAAAGGAUGGCCCCCGGUGCCUGGGAAUUCCUCCCCUCCCCAGCUCCCCAAGUGCCCCCUUCUCCAGGAGGCCUUCUGGGUUCAGUGGAAGGAACUGAAGAUUUCCAUCUGGGCAUGACCUCCUUCCCCGUCGGCCUCCUCCUCUUCUCCCUUCUCCUCACUCCCCCUGCCCAGAGUGCCAGUGGGAGAACCUAAGAGGUAGUUGCUGGCUCCAGGCCCACGCUGCCAGUCACAGUCUGUGUGAUCUCGGGCAAGUCACCCAGCCUCCCCAAACCUUGGGUUUGUCAUCUGGAAGACAGAGCUGCUGACAGGGAAGGCUUUCACAGGGUUUUUAGAAAGAAUAAAUGAGAUAAUGUACAUGAAAUAAAAGUAGACAUUACUAUUCUAAAUGCUGGGUGUUAUUCUGGUAUCACGCAAACUUCUCAUUUACUCAAGAGGAAACAGGUCCAGAAAAGACAUGAAAAAAAUUGGGGAAUGGGGUACUCUCUCUCUCUCUUGCUUCCCC